rnacentral:tRNA from 1 species
GGGGCCGUAGCUCAGUUGGGAGAGCGCCACGUUCGCAACGUGGAGGUCAGUGGUUCGAUUCCCCUCGGCUCCACCA